GCUGAUGUUCUACCCCUAAAGAUUGAUGAUUGGAGGUGUGACGCUGAGA
rnacentral:ncRNA from 3 species